rnacentral:rRNA from 1 species
GAGUUUGAUCAUGGCUCAGAUUGAACGCUGGCGGCAUGCUUUACACGUGCAAGUCGAACGGUAACGCGGGGGCAACCCUGGCGACGAGUGGCGAACGGGUGAGUAAUACAUCGGAACGUGUCCUGGAGUGGGGGAUAGCUCGGCGAAAGCCGGAUUAAUACCGCAUACGCUCUGAGGAGGAAAGCGGGGGACCUUCGGGCCUCGCGCUGCGGGAGCGGCCGAUGUCGGAUUAGCUAGUUGGUGGGGUAAAGGCCUACCAAGGCGACGAUCCGUAGCUGGUCUGAGAGGAUGAUCAGCCACACUGGGACUGAGACACGGCCCAGACUCCUACGGGAGGCAGCAGUGGGGAAUUUUGGACAAUGGGGGCAACCCUGAUCCAGCCAUGCCGCGUGAGUGAAGAAGGCCUUCGGUUGUAAG